rnacentral:rRNA from 1 species
UUCAAUACUGCCGUUAAAAAGCAGUGUGCACUUUUCUCUUAGUAAGACGCCGUGAUCCAUUAGAAAUUGAUGUGCGUUCAUUCAGUACAUGUUGGGUCAUCAAUAGGUCAAUAUGAAGUUUAUUUGGAACAAAUGGCAUAAUCUUUAACGGUUGUGUGUAUUGUCUGGUAAGCAUAUUGUGUCCUGUAAUGACUGUCUGAUGGAUUUUAAAGAUCAUAUYAUUUAUGUCCUUGUGGCAUUAGUUCUCUUUAUUGAGAUAUACGAUAUGUGUCUGAUCAACGGUGGUUAAAUUUGGGAUACCUUUUGGACCCGUCUUGAAACACGGACCAAGGAGUCUAUCUAGUAUGCGAGUAAAUGGGUAAUUAAUGAAACCUAUUUGCAUAAGAAACUUGACUGUUGUGUGUGGGAUUACGAGAUAAUGCAUUUAUGUGUAUUAUUUCUUCCAUCCCGGGGUAUUUUCAUCAACAUAUGCCGUUAAAAAGUAUAUGGAAAGUAUACCAUGAGCACACUGGAUACGACCCGAAAGAUGGUGAACUAUGCCUGAUCAGGUCGAAGUCAGGGGAAACCCUGAUGGAGGACCGAAGCAGUUCUGACGUGCAAAUCG